UUUCUGCAAUAUACUUUAUUUCUUAUACGUUAAUGUGGAGCUUAGAGUUUACAUCUAUAUUAAAAAACAAAACAAGUAAAAUGGGUAACAGAAAAACCUGCCUUGCAAAGACAGACUGUGGUAACCACAGAACAUGGAGAAAGUUUAAGCACCUGUAAAAUAAAAGCUGUAUGGCAUGAGGAAAGCAAUAUCGGUAUAAUGUCAUGAUCUCUCUCGUGGUGGCCCACCAAUUCUUAAUCACAGGAAAAUGAAGGUUACGUCAUAUCUGCAGCAUGUGUUAUGAAGCAGCCAAGUGUAGAGGAAGUUUUCUGUUUCAGCAGGUUGAUCAUGGUGGCCUAUCUGGCACUGGAACCAAACAUGGUACCCUUCAUCUCCCUCAAGACGGUGCUCAGAGUUGUCAAUCAUGAAAAAAAAAAAAUUAUGGUUAGAUUGAAUAACUGUAAGCACGAGAGAGAGAGGCAAGUACACGAAAAGUAUUGUAAAAGUAAGAGGGAAUACAUAUUAGAAAGGCAAAGGAGGAGAUUAACAGUGAAGUCUAUGAAAUCAUGAAAAUUAGCAACUUUAGGUUCAAUACUCUACCUUCUUCAUGAGUAGCAAACAUGGACCCCUUCAUCUUCCUCGUAUCCCACAGGAGACGGUGCUCAGAGUUGUCAAAAACAAAAACAAAUUAUGGUUAGAGUGAAUAACUCACAUUGCUUGAAUUGGCACAUGGAUACACAUGUGAGCAGUAACGCCACGUCAAGGCUUCAACCCUUGUUACUGACCAUUCACACACACCAUACUUUUCAUUCAUACGCAUUUGGUAUUCCAGAUGUUUUGGACUACACCUCCCAUAAUGGUUUGCCAGCAUUAUGGGAGAUGUAAUUCACAGCAUCUGGACUGCCCAAGGUUACCUACCUCUGAACUAUGCCGUGAUCACAGUACACAAUGUUGAAGGUGCUGUGCAAACAGGAGCAGCUUGUCAUGUGUCAGAUGCCACUUCAUUACUUAUAAAUUCAAUACUCCACCCUGGAGACGAGCAUCAAACAUGGGCUUCUUCAUUCCUCUUCAUG